rnacentral:rRNA from 1 species
UACGUAGGGUGCGAGCGUUGUCCGGAAUUAUUGGGCGUAAAGAGCUCGUAGGCGGUUUGUUGCGUCGGCCGUGAAAACUCGGGGCUUAACCCCGAGCCUGCUUCCGAUACGGGCAGACUAGAGGUAGGCAGGGGAGAGCGGAACUCCUGGUGUAGCGGUGGAAUGCGCAGAUAUCAGGAAGAACACCGGUGGCGAAGGCGGCUCUCUGGGCCUUACCUGACGCUGAGGAGCGAAAGCGUGGGUAGCGAACAGG